AUUAGUAGUUAAAUUAACAAACCAUUUCCUCCUCCAUAUACAGAAUUGCCUCACUCUUUUGAAUGAUGCGGAUCGUAGAUUGGAAUAUCUGAAAAUCCAGGAUGAGCAGCACCUGGUAAUUGAAGUUUGAAAUAAAGAUAUGAGUUGGCCUGAGGAAAUGUCCUUUAUAGCAAACAGUAGUAAAAUAGAUAGACACAAGGUGGACCAUAGCAACAUAUGCUCCCCAAUUUAAUGGGUUCCAGCAACAGGACUCCCAGGAACUUCUGGCUUUUCUCUUGGAUGGUCUUCAUGAAGAUCUCAUCUGAGUGCAUGAGAAGCCAUACGUGGAGCUGAAGGGCAGUGAUGGCCAACCAGACUGGGGUGUAGCUGCAGAGUGUUUAUUGCCUUGGAUGAUGAAACAGUCACCUGUCAGCUGCCUCUGUGUGAAGAUCUGAGAUGUCUGCUGUCUGGUCCUGAUCAUCCUUAUGCUGCCAACAAUCCAAGAUCUAAGUAUUUUCUUGCCUGGGGAGCUGAGGCAUUCACUUCCGGUCAGCAUUACUAGGAGGUGGCAGGCUGUGAUAACUUGAUAAUUGGGGUUUGUAAUGAUUCUCGGACAAGGAAGAAUGACAUGGUGGUUGACUUGGAGGGAAUUUUUCUCCUUUUUUGUAUCAAAGAGAUCAGUGCUGUCUCUUUACCUCCUCCCCACCAUUACCUCAGUAUUUACCUCAAUAUGUCAAAAGGCCUCUCAGCCACAUAGGGGUGCUCCUAGAUUAUGAAGGUGGUGUGGUGAGCUUUGUCAGUGUGGCCAGCAGUUCCCUCAUUUGUAGUUUUCUCAUGCUCAUCUCCUCUGAAGCCUUUUCUUUGCUCGAGACACCCAUGAUCAGGGGCAAGUGAGAAAUCUGACCACAGGCAUCAGGAAUGUCAAUGAAUGAGAUC